GGACUACAGGGGUAUCUAAUCCUGUUUGCUCCCCACGCUUUCGCACCUCAGCGUCAGUAAUGGACCAGUAAGCCGCCUUCGCCACUGGUGUUCCUCCGAAUAUCUACGAAUUUCACCUCUACACUCGGAAUUCCACUUACCUCUUCCAUACUCCAGACAUCCAGUAUCAAAGGCAGUUCCAGAGUUGAGCUCUGGGAUUUCACCCCUGACUUAAAUGUCCGCCUACGUGCGCUUUACGCCCAGUAAAUCCGAACAACGCUAGCCCCCUUCGUAUUACCGCGGCUGCUGGCAC
rnacentral:rRNA from 1 species